AAUAACAGCAUGAGCAUUUGGAAUUUACCUGGGAAGCAAACAGAAAAAGAAAUUGCCCUUGCAGAGCUUAUAUUCUAGUAGAAGAAAGAUCACUGCAGCACAGUUUGAGAAAACAGAAAUAUUAGAAAAAAACUCAAUGUCCAAUAAGAGGGAGUCCUGACUUGCCUGGUCUUUUCGCUGAUGGUAGAGAGCAGGAACUCACACAUGUCCAGGAACUUUCUACAAAUGUCACCUCUCACCCCUUCCACUGAAACCCUAGAAGAUUUAGGGUGGAGAUGGAGAAUAAGGCUCAGAAAGAACUGUGGUGAGAGGCUCUGAGGAUGGAGGACACCCUCUGCUUGUUCUCGUCAAUUCUGCAGCCUGGAGGCCUAAAGCCUGGGAGGCCACUAAGUGCCAAGCCCCCUGCUGGCCACAAGCUACAGUGAUGUGGCUGAACUUCCCUUGAAGAUCCAUUCCAGAGCAGCGCUGGGGCCCCUGCAAUGCGGAAGGGACAUCACUUAUAAAGCUCACUCCACUUAGUAUAGCCAGAGCCUGAAAUGAACACAGUGGGGUGCUCCUAGAGCCUCUAAAACUGCAAAUGUUGAUGGAAAGCGUGCACCUGCCUGGACACAGUGAGUACUUUCUUGGAGAGUCAGGAUGGCUAUAAGAAGCAUCUCCUUUUUGACCAAACAUUUCCAAAUGGUUGGGUUUUUUUAAUUACUAACUUCUUUCUAAAGUUACUAUCCUAAAAAAUACUGUGUUCUCUAACAAAAUCAAACUGGGAACUCCAAGUUGUGGCCACAGAGGGAGAAUGCCCAGAUGGGAACAAAUAUGAAUGAACCACACAGUGAGGACCAGGCCCUCCUUUCCAAUGUACUUCUGGUGCUGUCUCACCUUGAACCCACCUUGCCAUCAUCAGAGUAGCCUCAAGGCACUCUGAUCCCUCUGUGUCAG